rnacentral:tRNA from 1 species
GGCCGCCUGGCGAAAUGGCAUCGCGUCUGACUACGAUUCGAAGGUUUCACUGUGUUUUAAUCAGGAGAUUGCAGGUUCGACCCCUGCGGUGGUCA